rnacentral:piRNA from 1 species
GACAUGACACUACAUAAGCCCUACUUUUGA